UACACAUAAGACACAGACAUUUCACAUAUCCCCAGAUAGCUGGGAUCUGAGCGCACAAAACUACCAAAUAGCGCUCAGAUCCUAUUCACACAGUUCAAUUGCCAUGGAGCCGAAGUCUUUAACUACACGAAUGGGCUCCAUGGCAUAGCUAUCUGGGUUAACCCAUUCACAUAAAGUCUGGUCCAUAGUACAAAGGCAAGAGGCGGGCAAGCAGCCCCCUCCAAGGACACGUGGCGAGGCC